rnacentral:rRNA from 1 species
CCUACGGGGGGCAGCAGUGAGGAAUAUUGGUCAAUGGACGAGAGCCUGAACCAGCCAAGUAGCGUGAAGGAUGAAUGCCCUAUGGGUUGUAAACUUCUUUUAUAAAGGAAUAAAACGCGGGACGUGUGCCUUUUUGCAUGUACUUUAUGAAUAAGGAUCGGCUAACUCCGUGCCAGCAGCCGCGGUAAUACGGAGGAUCCGAGCGUUAUCCGGAUUUAUUGGGUUUAAAGGGUGCGUAGGUGGGUUGUUAAGUCAGUGGUGAAAGUUUGUGGCUCAACCGUAAAAUUGCAAUUGAUACUGGCAGGCUUGAGUACAGUUGAGGCAGGCGGAAUUCGUGGUGUAGCGGUGAAAUGCUUAGAUAUCACGAAGAACCCCGAUUGCGAAGGCAGCGUACUAAGCUGUGACUGACACUGAUGCUCGAAAGUGUGGGGAUCAAACAGGAUUAGAUACCCCAGUAGUC